AUGGACGAUAAAUCUUUCUUCAAAAAUCGAUAGGAAUGAUGUCGAAUUUCAUACUCUACAGAAAAUAACAAUUAUUGAAGCUUUGUUUUUGAAUUGAGCACUACUUCAUCUAAUUUUACGCCUGCUAAAAAGUUUCUACAAAUCAGUAUGGAAAGUGUACGUUGGGGGCAAGAUGGGAUACCCGUCUAGCCCCAGGUUAACCAUGAAUAUGGCCUAUGAAUUUGGAAGUAUUUUCGGAGGCAGACUUUUUUGCUGCAGAGACUACAAAUAGACAGGAUCCUUCAGCAAGGGUGGUCCUAACAAGAAACAAAAGACAAAUGAAACAGAAUGCCCCUAUUGUGGAGGGUUAUACUCUGUAUUUACAGAGAGUUGGACUAAAUGUAGCUGUUGUGAUAAAUGGGCACACUGUUCUUGUGCCAAUAUUGAAGAAAACGAGUUUAACCAUUUUAAUUUGUCUUUCUUGUAUAUAAAAAUAAUAUCCCAAUCUUACCCCAUCGGUGGGGUAAGAUGGUGCAUUUACAUAUAAUUUUAAAAUAUUAAAUUUUCUAUUUUUUAAAAAACGUUUUUCAAAAAUUAAAUUUUGUAUAUAUUAACACAUAUAUUAACACAAGCGAUCACAUUAAGAAUUUAGGGGAGAGAUCCUUUAAAAAGCCAGAAAUUCAAGGAGAAAGAAUGGUCGUUUCCCCCUAGCUCAGUCUGUUUAUCCUCUGUGUCGAGACUUAAUUUUCGUUCGGCCGUAUUAUAAAGGUUUUUCGGUAGUCAAUCUUCUACCGUGUUAACCCUCUGAACACACCUGAAAUUUCCCUAAAAUUAACAGAGUUUUUUCUUAGUAGCGUUAUUGAUAUCAGAAACUAGCUUUA